UACGUAGGGUGCAAGCAUUAAUCGGAAUAACUGGGCGUAAAGGACGCGUAGGCGGUCUUUUAAGUCUGGCGUGAAAUUACGGGGCUCACCCCCGUAGCUGCGUUGGAAACUGAAAGACUAGAGGACGGAAGGGGAAAGCGGAAUUCCAUGUGUAGCGGUGAAAUGCGUAGAUAUAUGGAAGAACACCAGUGGCGAAAAGCGGCUUUCUAGUACGUACCU
rnacentral:rRNA from 1 species